rnacentral:rRNA from 1 species
UGCCAGCCGCCGCGGUAAUACGAACCGUCCAAACGUUAUUCGGUAUCACUGGGCUUAAAGCGUGCGUAGGCGGAUCAGAAAGUAUAGGGUGAAAUCCCGGGGCUCAACCCCGGAAGUGCAUUGGAAACUGGCGAACUUGAGUACGGGAGAGGAAAGUGGAAUUCCGAGUGUAGGGGUGAAAUCCGUAGAUAUUCGGAGGAACACCAGUGGCGAAGGCGGCUUUCUGGACCGAUACUGACGCUGAGACGCGAAAGCGUGGGGAGCAAACAGGAUUAGAUA